GGUCCCAGUGCUAAGAACUCCAGGUCUCAAGGGAACUGGUGUUUUAAUUAUGUUUCUCUUGGAAGCCAAUGAAUUUUCCUUUUUAUAUGUCUGUACUGUGGUACUACAUAAUAGUUUACCAGGUUCAGGUUCAUUGCUAAGAACUGGUUCAGUGGUAUGGUUCUCCUGUUCUGGACUCUGUGAGAGUGCUGAUCUAUCAGCAAGUUGUGUAACACACGGCUCAAAGCAACCAGAUCCUUUUCCAUUAUUCUUUUCGACUGGAGUAUUUAUCUCAAUCUCUGUGGAAUGAGAAAAUUCCUUAGUAGUUACAAGUUUGCUUCUAAAUUUUACAUCUUGAUUUAAAGCCAAUCCAUCUUUUUCCCCAUGCUCCAGAGACUUGUAUGGUACAACUUCAGUCUUUGGAGGGGAUAACUGAUUAAUAUCACUGCCAUUCUUCUUUUCCUUGGCACCAGAUUUUAAAUUUGUUUGAAACUCUUUACGAAAUUUCUGCAAGUUCUCCAACGCCUUUUUUCUUAAAACAUUCUCAAGAUCUUCAAUUCCUGUAUUAGCAAUAUUAUCAGAAUUCCCACUCUCACCUCCAUUAUCAUGACUUACUUCUUUGACUAUAUUUCGAUGAGGAUC
rnacentral:misc_RNA from 1 species